AGUGAACGCUGGCGGUAGGCCUAACACAUGCAAGUCGAACGGCAGCACAGUAAGAUCUUGCUCUUACGGGUGGCGAGUGGCGGACGGGUGAGGAAUACAUCGGAAUCUUCUUUUUCGUGGGGGAUAACGUAGGGAAACUUAUGCUAAUACCUCAUACUACCUACGGGUGAAUGCAGAGGUUCUUCGGAUUUUUCGUGAUUCAAUGAGCCUAUGUCGGAUUAGCUAGUUGGCGGGGUAAAGGCCCACCAAGGCGACGAUCCGUAGCUGGUCUGAGAGGAUGAUCAGCCACACUGGAACUGAGACACGGUCCAGACUCCUACGGGAGGCAGCAGUGGGGAAUAUUGGACAAUGGGCGCAAGCCUGAUCCAGCCAUACCGCGUGGGUGAAGAAGGCCUUCGGGUUGUAAAGCCCUUUUGUUGGGAAAGAAAAGCAGCAGGUUAAUACCCCGCUGUUCUGACGGUACCCAAAGAAUAAGCACCGGCUAACUUCGUG
rnacentral:rRNA from 1 species